rnacentral:rRNA from 1 species
GACGAACGCUGGCGGCGUGCCUAAUACAUGCAAGUUGAGCGAUGAAGAUUGGUGCUUGCACCAAUUUGAAGAGCAGCGAACGGGUGAGUAACACGUGGGGAAUCUGCCUUUGAGCGGGGGACAACAUUUGGAAACGAAUGCUAAUACCGCAUAACAACUUUAAACAUAAGUUUUAAGUUUGAAAGAUGCAAUUGCAUCACUCAAAGAUGAUCCCGCGUUGUAUUAGCUAGUUGGUGAGGUAAAGGCUCACCAAGGCGAUGAUACAUAGCCGACCUGAGAGGGUGAUCGGCCACAUUGGGACUGAGACACGGCCCAAACUCCUACGGGAGGCAGCAGUAGGGAAUCUUCGGCAAUGGACGAAAGUCUGACCGAGCAACGCCGCGUGAGUGAAGAAGGUUUUCGGAUCGUAAAACUCUGUUGGUAGAGAAGAACGUUGGUGAGAGUGGAAAGCUCAUCAAGUGACGGUAACUACCCAGAAAGGGACGGCUAACUACGUG